rnacentral:tRNA from 1 species
GAAAGAGGCAUGCCAGCAACGAAACCUGCUAACUUUCGUGUCUCCGGUUGGACUCCGGGGCUCAUUCA